GAUGAACGCUGGCGGCGUGCCUAACACAUGCAAGUCGAGCGAACAGACGAGGAGCUUGCUCCUCUGACGUUAGCCGCGGGCGUGUGAGUAACACGUGUAUACCCUACUUGUAAGACUGGGAUCACUUCGUGAAACCGGAGCUAAUACCGUAUGAUAUAUUGAACCGCAUGGUUCAAUGGAAAGAUUCGGCUUUUCUGUCUCUUAUAGAUGGUUCCGCGCCGCAUUAGCUAGUUGGUAAGGUAACGGCCUACCAAGGCACCGAUGCGUAGCCGACCGGAGAGGGGGAUAGGCCACACUGGAACUGAGACACGGUCCAGACUCCUACGGGAGGCAGCAGUAGGGAAUUGUGGGCAAUGGGCGAAAGCCUGACGGAGCAACGCCGCGUGAGUGAUGAAGGCCUUCGGAUCGUAAAACUCUGUUAUUAGGGAAGAACAGAUGUCGAAUGAGACAUGGCGGUAGUGACGGUACCUAGUCAGAAAGCCCCGGCUAACUACGUG
rnacentral:rRNA from 1 species